AGGCGACUGAGAUUUUGAUACUUUUAAGUAAUAUAUAUUAAAACAUUGGCAAAUGUAUCGGCAACUAGAACCGAGAAUCUAAAAAUAUUGUAUGAGCAUCCGGGCACAACAAUCAUAUUAUUGCAUAAGAUUCAGUUUUAUUAAGUCGUCACAAAGUUUAAAUACGUAUCAACAUUGAAUGAUUUAGAUGAGACACCCAACGCACAUCACACAGCGGUAAGACAAAGUCCGUCCGUCUGUCCGUUACAUACUACCA
rnacentral:lncRNA from 1 species